rnacentral:rRNA from 1 species
UACGUAGGGGGCAAGCGUUGUCCGGAAUCAUUGGGCGUAAAGCGCGUGUAGGCGGCCAGGUAAGUCCGUUCUGAAAGCCCGGGGCUCAACCCCGGGAGGCGGAUGGAUACUGCUUGGCUCGAGUCCGGAAGAGGCGAGUGGAAUUCCCGGUGUAGCGGUGAAAUGCGCAGAUAUCGGGAGGAACACCAAUGGCGAAGGCAGCUCGCUGGGACGGUACUGACGCUGAGACGGCGAAAGCGUGGGGAGCAAACAGG